rnacentral:rRNA from 1 species
AUGAGAGCAGGUCGCUUUUCUGCUCAUAUUUCUCAGAUUUGUUGUAGAUGUGCUCAGCAGGAGGAUGAUAUUCACCUCUUUUUCCUUUGUGACUUUGCUAGAGCAGCUUGGUUUUCUUCUCCUUGGUUUCUUAGACCUGACACUCUGAUUCAAGGCCAUGACUCAAUGCAUUCUAUUCUCAUUCAUCUCGUUUUGAUGGGUCAUCCCUAUGCUUCCUUGCAAAAUGUUUUCAAUUUUUUAUUGUGCAUUUGGAAAGCUAGAAAUGAUUUCCUAUUUGAACGCAAAAGACACCUUCCUUAUCAAGUUCAUAUUGUUGAUGCUAAUAUGGAUUAUGCUUCGUGUGAGGAAUCUUUGCUUCCUUCUAAUAACAAAAUUUGCGCUAAUACUCAACAUGAUUUACAUGAAAUUCCUGAGCAAGGGCAAACUAUUAAAUCUGAUCUGCUGAUCACUGGAGCCAAAAUCUUUUCAGAUGCAGCUUUUAGAUCUUCAAAAAUCCCAAGUCUUCGCCAAGGACAAGUGAGGACAUGUGUAGGAGUCUACUUUUGUCUUCCUUCCUCUCAGGGAGAACUUAAUAUUCAGGUUCAAGCUUCGGCGCCUCCAACUUCAACUCCUCUUCAAGCAGAAGUUGUUGCUCUGGCAUGUGCAGCUCAUCUGGCAACCCAUCUUAAUGUUUAG